rnacentral:rRNA from 1 species
AGUGAACGCUGGCGGUAGGCCUAACACAUGCAAGUCGAACGGCAGCACAGUAAGAGCUUGCUCUUACGGGUGGCGAGUGGCGGACGGGUGAGGAAUACAUCGGAAUCUACUUUUUCGUGGGGGAUAACGUAGGUAAACUUACGCUAAUACCGCAUACGACCUACGGUUGAAAGCAGGUGAUCUUCUUACCUUGCGCGUUUGAAUGAGCCGAUGUCGGAUUAGCUAGUUGGCGGGGUAAAGGCCCACCAAGGCGACGAUCCGUAGCUGGUCUGAGAGGAUGAUCAGCCACACUGGAACUGAGACACGGUCCAGACGCCGACGGGAGGCAGCAGUGGGGAAUAUUGGACAAUGGGCGCAAGCAUGAUACAGCCAUACCGCGUGGGUGAAGAAGGCCUUCGGGUUGUAAAGCCCUUUUGUUGGGAAAGAAAAGCAGCAGGUUAAUACCCCGCUGUUCUGACGGUACCAAAAGAAUAAGCACCGGCUAACUUCGUG